rnacentral:lncRNA from 12 species
CGGGGGGAGGGGGAGGGGGAGGAGGGGAGGGGGGGGGAGGGAGGGGAGGGGAGGGCGCGCUCCGUGCAGCCCGCACAGCUCCCGCAGGUGUUGGCUCCGUCCCGCUGUGCCCCGGGGCCUCUGACCCCCGGUGCCCGCAGUCAGGGCCCGCCUGCCGGGCCUCGGCCGGGACCCCCGGACGCCCGCGCUCCUUAGCCCGCCGCGGCCGUCCUCCACGAAGGCUUUUUGGACGCGCUGCUCGCCCUCGUCCGUGACAUUCCGACGCGGCUGUGACGGGGCCGGGGUGCGCACCGCAGGCCUGGGUGGCCGCGUCCGGGGCGGGGGGCUGUGCCCUCGACGGGAGGGCCGCGGGGCUGGGGGCGGGGCGGGGGCGGGGCGGGGGCGGGGCGGGGCGGUGGCCCGGCGCGCAGCAGGUGUCCCGCGGCCCCGACGACAGUCCUUGUCCGUGCCGGUGUCUACCCUCUGACGUCUGCGAGCGCCGUCCGUGUCCUCAGUUCUUGCCAAAAAUACAGCCACGGGGCCCUGACACUUCUGCCGAAACACUUGAAGGGUCUGGGAACCCGGGUUUACGCACGCGGUCCGGGGGGCUUGGCCCCGCCCCCGCCCAGCCCCGCCCCCGCCCCCGCCCGCCCCUCCGUCCCGCCCUCGGCCCCGCCCCCGCCCCCGCCCGCCCGUCGCCCCGCCCCUCCGUCCCGCCCCGCCCCGCCCGCCCGCCCGUCGCCCCGCCCCCGCCCGGUGCCCGCCCCCUCUGCUCCGCGGGCCGCAGGGUGGAGGCUGGCGGUGGAGCGACCUCGCCCGGUCGCGGGGUUCCGCGGAGGCUGGGUCCCCGGCCUGGAGCGGGGAGUCGGUGGGAGGAGCGGGGCUCCCGCGGGCGAGCUGGGCCGGGGCUCCGCGUGCCGCUCGGCUGACGGGUUCGGAGGGAGCUGGCCUGCAGAUUCUCCCCCAACCGGAGGAGGACAGCUCUGACCGGCCUCUUCGCGUUAGCUUGUUCUUAAACACACCUGUGAGACUCACUUGGGGUUUCCUGUUCAAAACCAGAUUCUGGGGAUCCCUGCGGGGCUCAGUGGUGGAGCACCUGCCUUCGGCCCACGGCGUGACCCCGGGGUCCCAGGAUGGAGUCCCGCGUCCGGCUCCCUGCGUGGAGCCUGCUUCUCCCUCUGCCCGUGUCUCUGCCUCUCUCUGUGUGUGUCUCUCGUGAAUAAAUAAAUAAAAAUCUUAAACA